GACUUAGGCAUCAAUGAACAAAGGUAGAACAUCAUGUGGACCGAGCAAAUGGAUGAAACAAUGAUUCGACGCCUCCAAGUCCAAGUAUGGGAGGGGAAAAGAGAGGAAAUUCUUUCAAAGAGAUGGCUUACAAUUUUGUUGCUAAAGAGAAAGGAAAAUAAUUCAUGAAGUUGAGAAACAUGACUUGCCCCCUGUUUGAAGAACUUAAGGAAGUUGUGGGUGAAGAUCACGCCACAGGGGAAUUUUUUCAAUCAAACAGAUUUCCGUCAAAGAAAAGAUAAGGAAGAAAUUCAUAUGGAGAUCAGUGUGACUGAUGGCUGUGAAGAUUUAAACACCCAAGUCUCAAUGUCCACGUCUCAUUUUGGAGAGGGCAGUGGAGUUGGUGCAUCACAUGAUGUACAUCAAGAGAGAAAGAGAGUGAAGGUAGCAUUGGAUGGCCAAAUAUCUGUUCUUACUACCUCUAAAGAUCAUUUGGCAACUGUGGUCCAAGAGAGGCAUGACUCUCCUAAUGCAUUGUUAGAUGCCAUACUAGAAGUAGAUGGAUUUAGCAAAGAUAUACUUGACAUCGUCUUUGAUUUCCUCACAGUAAAUGAACCUCAAGAAAAUGCAUUAGUUAGGAAUGCAGAGCAAUAGAGGAGGUGGAUCUUGAGGUUUCUUGAUUAACGCCAUUGAUGUGGUAAGAUAAAUACAAUCAUUAGCUAUUUCAUUCAGGUUUAGGAUGUGAUUGGUUCUCACUUGGAACACAAUGAUUUGUAUUUAUUUGCCAUAGCAUCAGAGUUCAUAUGGACUGCAUCGAAAUGAACACAUUUCCGUUUAUCAACUGUCUGGAUGAGUAAUAGAAUUUGUUUCAUUCCUUAAAAAUGUAGAAUGAACUACUUUUUACUGAA